GAUAGGUCAUCCGGGUGUUGGAUAUCCCGGUUUAGUUGGAAGUAGGCGAUGGGUAGGCAAAUCCGCCCGUCAUAUACCGAGGCCAACGAUCGAGCCAGCUUGCUGGUGAAGUGACUGAACGAGGUUCCAGGAAAAGCCACUAAGCUUCAGCUAUACACGACCGUACCGCAAACCGACACUGGUGCGCGAGAUGAGUAUUCUAAGGCGCUUGAGAGAACUCAGGAGAAGGAACUCGGCAAAUUGACACCGUAACUUCGGAAGAAGGUGUGCCCUAUUAGUGUGAAGUGAACAACGGAGCAUGAAUGGGUUGCGAAAAAUCGGUGGCUGCGACUGUUUAUUAAAAACACAGCACUCUGCAAACACGGAAGUGGACGUAUAGGGUGUGACGCCUGCCCGGUGCUGGAAGAUUAAAUGAUGGGGUGCAAGCUCUUGAUUGAAGUCCCAGUAAACGGCGGCCGUAACUAUAACGGUCCUAAGGUAGCGAAAUUCCUUGUCGGGUAAGUUCCGACCUGCACGAAUGGCGUAACGAUGGCCACACUGUCUCCUCCUGAGACUCAGCGAAGUUGAAAUGUUUGUGAUGAUGCAAUCUCCCCGCGGAAAGACGGAAAGACCCCAUGAACCUUUACUGUAGCUUUGUAUUGGACUUUGAACAGAUCUGUGUAGGAUAGGUGGGAGGCUUUGAAGCAGGGUCGCUAGAUCUUGUGGAGCCAACGUUGAAAUACCACCCUGGUGUGUUUGAGGUUCUAACCUAGGUCCAUUAUCUGGAUCGGGGACAGUGCAUGGUAGGCAGUUUGACUGGGGCGGUCUCCUCCCAAAGCGUAACGGAGGAGUUCGAAGGUACGCUAGUUACGGUCGGACAUCGUGACGAUAGUGCAAUGGCAUAAGCGUGCUUAACUGCGAGACUGACAAGUCGAGCAGAUGCGAAAGCAGGACAUAGUGAUCCGGUGGUUCUGUAUGGAAGGGCCAUCGCUCAACGGAUAAAAGGUACUCUGGGGAUAACAGGCUGAUACCGCCCAAGAGUUCAUAUCGACGGCGGUGUUUGGCACCUCGAUGUCGGCUCAUCUCAUCCUGGGGCUGUAGCCGGUCCCAAGGGUAUGGCUGUUCGCCAUUUAAAGAGGUACGUGAGCUGGGUUUAAAACGUCGUGAGACAGUUUGGUCCCUAUCUUCCGUGGGCGCUGCAGAUUUGAGGAAGCCUGCUCCUAGUACGAGAGGACCGGAGUGGACACACCUCUGGUGUAUCGGUUGUCACGCCAGUGGCAUUGCCGAGUAGCUAAGUGUGGAAGAGAUAACCGCUGAAAGCAUCUAAGCGGGAAACUCGUUUCAAGAUGAGAUCUGCCGGGGCCUUGAGCCCCCUGAAGAGUCGUUCAAGACCAGGACGUUGAUAGGUCAGGUGUGGAAGCGCAGUAAUGCGUUAAGCUAACUGAUACUAAUUGCUCGUGCGGCUUGACCAA
rnacentral:rRNA from 1 species